rnacentral:sRNA from 1 species
UUUGUUUUUUCCUUUUUUUUU